rnacentral:rRNA from 1 species
UACGGAGGAUCCGAGCGUUAUCCGGAUUUACUGGGUUUAAAGGGUGCGUAGGCGGGCCAUUAAGUCAGCGGUGAAAGGCGGCGGCUCAACCGUCGGAAUGCCGUUGAUACUGGGGGCCUUGGAUGCGGUCGAGGCGGGUGGAAUGCGCGGUGUAGCGGUGAAAUGCUUAGAUAUCGCGCAGAACGCCGAUUGCGAAGGCAGCUCGCCAGGCCGUGAUCGACGCUGAGGCACGACAGCGUGGGGAUCGAACAGGAUUAGAUACCCUGGUAGUCCACGCCGUAAACGAUGAUGGCUGGGUGUUGGCGGUACACGGCCAGCGCCUGAGCGAAAGCAUUAAGCCAUCCACCUGGGGAGUACGGCCGCAAGGCUGAA